rnacentral:rRNA from 1 species
UACAGAGGUCUCAAGCGUUGUUCGGAUUCAUUGGGCGUAAAGGGCGCGUAGGCGGCCGGGUCAGUCGGGCCUGUAAGUGCGGGGCUCAACCCCGUGAUGGGCUCGGGACGGCCCGGCUGGGGCGCGGUCGAGGGAGACGGAAUGCCGGGUGAGUGGUGAAAUGCGUAGAGAUCCGGCGGAACACCGGUGGUGAAGACGGUCUCCUGGGCCGAGGGCCGACGCUGAGGCGCGAGAGCGUGGGGAGCGAACCGG